GCCAGUGUGCUAUAGUGGUUUAAGUGUUGGACUUUGACUCUGGAGACCAGGGUUCAAUUCCCUGUAUGGCCA